UACGUAGGGUGCGAGCGUUGUCCGGAAUUAUUGGGCGUAAAGGGCUCGUAGGCGGUUUGUCGCGUCGGGAGUGAAAUCCACUGGCUUAACUGGUGGCUUGCUUUCGAUACGGGCAGACUGGAGGUAUGCAGGGGAGAACGGAAUUCCUGGUGUAGGCGGUGAAAUGCGCAGAUAUCAGGAGGAACACCGAUGGCGAAGGCAGGUCUCUGGGCCACUACUGACGCUGAGAAGCGAAAGCAUGGGGAGCGAACAGG
rnacentral:rRNA from 1 species